rnacentral:rRNA from 1 species
GGGCGCCCGCCGGAGGAACCGAAACACUCUGUUUUCCCGGCGUCUCCUCUGAGUACGACUAGCGAAAUAAGUCAAAACUUUCAACAACGGAUCUCUUGGUUCUGGCAUCGAUGAAGAACGCAGCGAAAUGCGAUAAGUAAUGUGAAUUGCAGAAUUCAGUGAAUCAUCGAAUCUUUGAACGCACAUUGCGCCCGCCAGCAUUCUGGCGGGCAUGCCUGUUCGAGCGUCAUUUCAACCCCUCAAGCCCAGCUUGGUGUUGGGGCCCCUACGUGCGCCGUAGGCCCCGAAUUCCAGUGGCGGGCUCGCCGCGAUCCCGAGCGUAGUAGUGCUACCUCGCUCAGGGCGCGCGGCGGGCGCCGGCCGUGAAAGAAACCACUUUUACCGAAAGGUUGACCUCGGAUCAGGUAGGAAUACCCGCUGAACUUAAGCAUAUCAAUAAGCGGA